AUCUAUGGCCAUACCACCCUGAACACUCCCGAUCUCAUCUGAUCUCGGAAAAAUAAAUCAUUAGCUGGGGGUGGUGGCGCAUACCUGUAGUCC
ensembl:rRNA 5S_rRNA 5S ribosomal RNA